rnacentral:rRNA from 1 species
UACGUAGGGCGCAAGCGUUGUCCGGAAUUAUUGGGCGUAAAGAGCUCGUAGGCGGCUUGUCGCGUCGGUUGUGAAAGCCCGGGGCUUAACCCCGGGUCUGCAGUCGAUACGGGCAGGCUAGAGUUCGGUAGGGGAGAUCGGAAUUCCUGGUGUAGCGGUGAAAUGCGCAGAUAUCAGGAGGAACACCGGUGGCGAAGGCGGAUCUCUGGGCCGAUACUGACGCUGAGGAGCGAAAGCGUGGGGAGCGAACAGGAUUAGAUACCCUGGUAGUCCACGCCGUAAACGGUGGGCACUAGGUGUGGGCAACAUUCCACGUUGUCCGUGCCGCAGCUAACGCAUUAAGUGCCCCGCCUGGGGAGUACGGCCGCAAGGCUAAA